rnacentral:lncRNA from 1 species
AUGUCUGUCAUGACAUCCAUGUCUGUCAUGUGUCCAUGUCUGUCAUGGUGUCCAUGUGUGUCAUGAUCACCUUGUCUGUCAUGAUGUCCAUAUCUGUCAUGACGUCCAUGUCUGUUAUGAUGUCCAUGUCUGUCAUGAUGUCUAUGUCUGUCAUGAUGUCCAUGUCUGUCAUGAUGUCCAUGUGUGUCAUGAUCACCUUGUCUGUCAUGAUGUCUAUGUCUGUCAUGAUGUCCAUGUCUGUCAUGAUGUCCUUUAAUCCUUAUCCGUGGUUAACAACUCAUGACACGUAGCACAAGUAGGAUGUGACUGUUGUCAAAAUUGAACUCUACAAUCAACAGGCAUACUGGUCCUUGCGAUAACUUAUGUAAGUAACGAUGACAAUUAUCAAUCUUCCAGCACCAUCAGGGAGACAGUUCUAUCUGGUUUCCAAAUGGGUGGACAAGCUGUAUACAAUGAGGCUUGUGCGUGCCGAUCUUGGUUUUUUGGCUGAUGUAUCCUUGUUAUUAGAUGAUAGCACUUUGCUGACAUAAAUUGUGUGGGAAGUGUAUGCCUGUUGAUAGUAGACUAGCACCGCUAUGUACUUUGCUAUGUACAAACAAGGCAGAGUCUUGUUAGCUUAUUGUACAGACAACUGAAACCCAGCCAUGACAGAUAUCCUGACAAAACCUUGGGUGAUGCUGAUUGGGCAACAGCCCAGCUCUGCUACAGCACUGAUUGGUUAAGUCUCCAUGUUGUAAUCCACUGGUUGUUUCCAUUCACUGUAUGGAGAGUAUUUUAUAGUAAUCGUCUCAGAAGAUGAAACACCAAGAGUUUUUGACUGUAUUAUGUUCCUGGAAACAACUAAAAAGCCAAAUGAUGUUUAUGCACGAUGUUAAAUGUUACGUUCCUAGUCAGCUGAAAAAUGACAAUCAGACAUUUUAUCGUCUAGAUGUUGUACGUCAAUCAACACGUGUUUAUGACAUUCAGGCAGUAAUCAUAAAAAGAAUAUAUAUUUUCAGAACCAAUGAAGUAUUAUCAACUGUUACCAUGGUUACCAUGGUACAUCAUGUUGAUGUAUUUGUUCCACAUACUGCUCAGGACAAGGAGUGGCAUUGUGUGUGUUCUCUGGUGCCAAAUGCCUUGUACACACAUGGCUUUCACUGGAUUAACCAUAACCUUGUUUAUCAGUGGAUCGCUUUAGGUUCGAGAUUGUAGAAACUGCCUGUCUUUGUGAAUGAAGUGUAUAUUGCAAAUUCCUGUCUAUAUUUUACUGUAAAUUCAUUUCAUUAGGCAAGACAAUUGUUUUUCAUUGAUAGGUCUCUAAAUAUUGUUGUGUAUGAUUGAUACUUUUGGAAUCAACUUCAGGUUUGUCGUUACAUUUCAAGAGGUGAAUUUUAGAAAAGUAAUCUUAAUCAAACAUUUCCCCAUUUAGUUUAUUUUGAUUCAAACUGCUUUCCGCAUUGAGCAAAAAAAUCUGUGAAUUAAGCUGGUGUGACCUGUUCGUGAAAAGUAAGGGGAAUGGUGUCAAAGAAUCAAAUAGUGGUAUUUUUCAUUUUCAUUUACUAAGUGAAUAUGCCAAACACUUAUAGUAGAGGUCAGCUAGAUUGUAGACUGCAUAUUCAUAAGGAAUGCAUGACUGAACAUGCUCACCAGCUUAGGGAUGAGUAUUUUAUUGAUUUGACACUUUGCAUGAAAAAAGACUAAAAAUAUAUUUCAACAUUUCAUUUUCUGGUGUCCCCCACUGUGAUAUUGCUGGAAUACUGCUAAAUGUGGCAUAAAACUAAAUUCACCCAUUUCAAGACACCCAGCACACUGCACUUGUGGCAUCAGAUCCAUUUAACAGGGCCCAGAAUAUGGUGUUCCAAAGUUUCUUGGCACCGUUGUACUUUAUACCAUUUUUAUUUUUUAUUUUUCUGGCAAGCAGGGUUAUUGCAGAUUAACUGUAUCUUCAAGUUUUGUUAUGUCUUGAUAUAUGUUGUCCAUGUUGUUAUAUCGGAAGUAUACCCAGUUAGCGAUUAGAACUUUCUACUAUGGGAGAUAUAUCAGUAUAUGCUGGUUGAACCAUUGUGAUACUAGUUGUGUGGCUGUCAUUUAUUGUGGCCUAUUAUCUGUGAACAACCGCUCACCAAACUACCUGUCUCAUUGUAACAAUACUAAUCGUUGUUUUGUUGUCUGAAAAUAUUUAUUAGUUACAUGCAGUCAUUAUAUCAUCAGUAGACAUUGGUUUGGUUUAUUUGCCAACACCCCGCUGUGAGAAUCAUUGGGUUUCUGAUUCCAACACAUAUUUGGGACAGACCAUUUGAAAGUUUAAGGGGAUCUGGGAACGGUAUGGAUGCUAGAUAUUUUCUCAGCUACGUCUUUAAAACCAGAUAUUUUAUAAUGAAAAUUAAAAGUCUCUUUCUUUUUUUAAGAAACAGUUUUCAACAAUAGAUAUAUUGUGUAUUAUACAGUUAGAACCCAUUUUUUCAAGAAGUUACUGAGACGGUAAAGUCCCAGACCUAAACCCAGAAUAUCAAAUGGUUUGUCCCUAAUGGGACUUUGAACACUUAGGGUCCCCCUCCCUGAUAUUGCUGGAAUAUUGCUGAAAGCAGCGUAAAACUAAAUUCACUCACUCACUCAAUUUGAACACUUAGGGAAUACCAUUAAAUUUUAUCAAUAGUGCCAACCAGGCUGGUAACAAUUCCUUGCUAUUCCUUACUUGCAAGAUAAAUCAUCUUCCAUGAGAUGUGAUCUUCAUCAAAUGUUUGUGAGGUUAGUUGCAAAAAAUAUGUUUACCUGCAAUUUAGAAAAGGUUAUUGAACUUACUGUUAACAUAUCCUUUUAACUAUGAGAGAAUGGCAUUGGUACUUUUGUUCUAAAUCAAUAUCAACCUACUUCCCACCCCUUUCCCAAAUUCAUCCCUAAUAUUGGGCAAAUUUACACUGUACUUACAAGUUCUUUUGAAUAUUUUUUGUGUACUUCCAUUCAAUUUAGGUCUUGACUUUAGAGUAAGUGUACUUAUAUUUAGGUCUUGACUUUAGAGUAAGUGUACUUAUAUUUAGGUCUUACUGUUCAUGAAAUUUGUUGGGUGAUUGUUAUGUAUUUGUCAGGAUACAUCAUUCCAAAUUUGUACUGUUGAUGUUUUGUUUGUGAAGUGUUUUUAUUGUUGAAUGGAUCUCUUUAAGUUUUGUUAUUUACCUGUUUGUUAACACAACUUGUCAAUCAAAACCUUUUGCUUGUGGGAACCCCUUGUUCCUGCUUACAGAUAAUGUACAGGUGGAAACCACUGUUCAUGUUUACAGAUAAUGUUCUAGUUGAAACCCCUGUUCAUGUUUACAGAUAAUGUUCUAGUUGAAACCCCUGUUCAUGUUUACAGAUAAUGUUCUAGUUGAAACCCCUGUUCAUGUUUACAGAUAAUGUUCUAGUUGAAACCCCUGUUCAUGUUUACAGAUAAUGUUCUAGUUGAAACCCCUGUUCAUGUUUACAGAUAAUGUUCUUGUGGAAACCACUUUUCAUGUUUACAGAUAAUGUUCUAGUGGAAACCACUUGUUCAUGUUUACAGAUAAUGUUCUAGUGGAAACCCUGUUCAUGUUUACAGAUAAUGUUCUUGUGGAAACCACCUGUUCAUGUUUACAGAUAAUGUUCUAGUUGAAACCCCUCUUCAUGUUUACAGAUAAUGUUCUUGUGGAAACCACCUGUUCAUGUUUACAGAUAAUGUUCUAGUGGAAACCCUGUUCAUGUUUACAGAUAAUGUUCUAGUGGAAACCAUUGUUCAUGUUUACAGAUAAUGUUCUUGUGGAAACCACCUGUUCAUGUUUACAGAUAAUGUUCUAGUUGAAACCCCUGUUCAUGUUUACAGAUAAUGUUCUUGUGGAAACCACCUGUUCAUGUUUACAGAUAAUGUUCUAGUUGAAACCCCUGUUCAUGUUUACAGAUAAUGUUCUAGUGGAAACCACUUGUUAAUAUGUAUAGAUAACAUACAGGUACUAGUGAAAACACUCUGUUCAUGUUUAGAGUAUUUCUAUCAGUGUAUUAUGAAUGACAGUUGAGCAGAAUUUUCAGAACAAUUUGACCAUCUCAGAACAGAUUUUUUUUUUCAACAACAGCUGCAAAACCAUAUGUUGUAUUUAGUUAUAUCCAUGAGUCUGAAUAUUUUUUAGCAAAAGCGUCUUGCUGCAAUGUAAUCUUGUUAAAAGUGUCGCAGUUUAUUUUUCAAGAAUUUUUUGAGACAAUGUCUCUUUUUUUUCGAUAAGAUCCCAGACCCAGGCCCAGACCUGGACCUAACCCUUACCCUUACCCUUACCCUUACCCUUACCCUUACCCUUACCCUUACCCUUACCCUAACCCUAACCCUAACCCUAACCCUAACCCUAACCCUAACCCUAACCCUAACCCCAGACCCAGACCCAGACCCUGAACCAGAACCAGAUUAUGGAGUGUCUAAUCCCUUAGGGGCACUAUAUGUUGAAUUAAGUGUCCUCUUCCCAGUUCCAAAGAGCCAUUUAAAUACUGCAAACAUCAGGUUCCAUCACUGUGCAAAGAUUUCUUUGAGGAAUAAUCCAGGGUUGUAACGUUAUACAUUGUUUAUUGUUAACCUGUAUUAAAUACCUGCCACCCUAAAAUUUACUUACCAGUUUGUCAGGUGUCUUUUAGUAUUAUUUUUCUGGUUUAUUGUUUCAGAAAUUGUAUUCCUUCAUCCCUGAGUGCACAAUAUAGUUUUCUGUGUGUUUACACUUCACCAUUGAAACAUGUUGGACUACAACUUAUGUUAAACCAUUAUACAUAACCAUACAUUUUGAUAUUUAUUAUUUGACUUGUCUGUUCAUUCUGAUCAAUUUCAUGCUUACAAAUGACCAGAUUUACUGUAUAUAUGUUGAUUAAUUGCUCGUUUAUUACAGUGUAUUUAUGAGCUGUAUAUAUUUUCACAAAUCUUAAGACUCACUUUCUAUAAUAUCCUAAUCCGUCAGUAAUUAUUGGUAUAAUGUCAGCAACAUAGAUUUUGAUUUUGCUUCAAGGCAUAUGCUAUGACAUACUGGAGGUUAGGGCUGGCUAAAAUAAUCGAUAAUCAGGAGGAUUGUCGAUAGGAAACAUUAUUAAUGAUUAUCAAUAUGAAAAUUGUGUUAUCGAUAAUCUUGUACAUUUACUUUUUUGACAGAUAAAAGUAUUUAUCUUCUCACACAAUAUGCAAAUGCAGGACUUCAUUCAUGGUCUGGGUCCCGUUCCUCAAAGCGAUCGCUACAACUGUCGUAAGUCUAUGUUAAAGGAUCGUCUUAGCACUGAUCGCUUUGAGGAACUGGCCCUGAUCUCAGUUAUGUUCAGGAUACAGUUUUGUUAAUAAUCCAUGCAUAAACAUGUCAAAACUCACCAGUGAUGUGGAAUAUAUUCAUUUAUUUCAGACAGUUUUGACAUAUUUGCUAAAAGUUACGUAUCCGAUAUCUAUCGAUAAUCAGUAUUUUGUUAGCAAUUAUUGAUCUCUAUGAUUUACAUUGAUAGCCAGCCCAACUUAAGGUACAAUAGGAAUAUACAAGAGGCUGUUGGAGGGGUCAUGUAGUUGAAGGCAGGUGUGUUAGGGAGUGAAUAUUGUUACACCUGUUGUUAGAUCAUUACACUUGCACUUUACUUAAGUGUACAAACUGCAUGAAGGUUUGGCUGAUCACCUGUUUGGAAAAUAUUCGGGACAGCCAGCUGCCCAGUGUAGCUUUAAGUCACAAUGGUUUAUAGAGAGCAGCACCGAUUUAAGGCUACAGCAGCUAUCAACAGUUUGGGCAUGGUUGUGAAUUCUGACCCCAAUGAUACAGUUCAAGUUCUUCACAUAUUACAGCAUGUUAUAUCUUUGCAUUUGUAGGUUAUAGUUGGUUAUACAUUAUUUAAAAUGUUUUUCCUCUUCAAACAGACCACAGUCAAAAUGUCAUGCCCACUGUUGCCAUGUUUAGAUUAUUUAGUUGUGAUCACCAGAAUUCAAUUCCACUAUUUUCCUGCAUUUUAAUUAUAUCAAAUUUGUUUAGUUAACAGGGGUUCAUAGUGGUGACUUAGACAAUGAACCAUAAUUUACAUAACAGUUUAUAUCAACUGAUUACUGAGUAAUUAAAGUAAUUUUGAGUAAUUUUGCUAUAACAUAAAUAAGACAUGCACUUAAACCUUGAAACAAAGCAUAGCAAGAUUUAUAAAAAUGUUAAUUCUUAAUAAUGAAAACUCUUAAAUUUGGUUGUCUUUUUUAAAUUAAUCCAGUUAUCCUUAGACAUUUGGUGACUAACAUCACCAGUAAUUUUUAUAAUCAUUAAAGUUAUAUAUAUUUUGUUCAUUUACACCAAACUAAUGAUUUACACAUUUUCUAUUUAUUUACCAAUAAACAUAAUGCAUGACCAAUGUAUAUGAUUUGAUUCAAUAUAAGAUAUUAUUUAUUACACAUGUGCAAAGGAAGAGCAAAGCUUGUAGAUAUAGCCAGAUAGUUUAGCGAUCCCAGGUAAUGACUGUUACAUAAUCCAUAUGUAUUGAUGCCUAAUGUCAACAUCUGUUGAGUGUAUUGUAAGCUCUGUUCAAUCUUGCCCAAUUUUUGUUCUCAUCAAAGACAGCCAGUGCCUCGUCCCACAAAGCGAUCUUGGCGUUAAGGUGAUUGUAAGUACCGUACUUGAACAUAUUUUUGCGUCUUUGUUGCGCUAAGAUGGUUUUGCGGAACGGGGUACAGGUUUGGAACCCUUCGCUUACAGUGCAAUAUUUGUUAUUUGCGUUCCCGAAUGCCAAGAUAUUUUACGCCCGCUUUACUCACUUGCAUCAUGUCAUUGUUGAGACGACUAAGCGCCUUGGAAGUUUUGUCAUGACAGAGGUUGGGUAUAUUUUCAGGAAUAAAGUAUUUCUGAUAUAA